rnacentral:rRNA from 1 species
UACGGAGGGUGCAAGCGUUAAUCGGAAUUACUGGGCGUAAAGCGUGCGUAGGCGGUUUAUUAAGUCAGAUGUGAAAGCCCCGGGCUUAACCUGGGAACUGCAUUUGAAACUGGCAGGCUAGAGUCUUGUAGAGGGGGGUAGAAUUCCAGGUGUAGCGGUGAAAUGCGUAGAGAUCUGGAGGAAUACCGGUGGCGAAGGCGACUUCCUGGACCAAUACUGACACUGAGGUGCGAAAGCGUGGGGAGCAAACAGG